GAGUUUGAUCCUGGCUCAGAUUGAACGCUGGUGGCAUGCUUAACACAUGCAAGUCGAACGGUAACAGGUGUAGCUUGCUACAUGCUGACGAGUGGCGGACGGGUGAGUAAUACAUAGGAACUUACCUUAUGGAGGGGGAUAGCUCAGGGAAACUUGAGGUAAUACCGCGUAAGACCGGGAGGUGAAAGGGGGCUGUUAAAGGCUCUCGCCAUAAGAUGGGCCUAUGUUGGAUUAGCUAGAUGGUGAGGUAAAGGCUCACCAUGGCGACGAUCCAUAGCUGUUCUGAGAGGAAGGACAGCCACACUGGGACUGAGACACGGCCCAGACACCUACGGGUGGCAGC
rnacentral:rRNA from 1 species